rnacentral:lncRNA from 1 species
AGCUUAUAAAUAGAAAUAUAUUAUUAAACACAUCAAAUAUUUUUAAACAUGUUUUUAUAUCAUUUAUUUGAUUAUUUAUAAGUGGACCUAAGAAUUCAAUGUAUAAUUCAAAAUAAACCCUAACUCAACAUGCCAUAUAAAACCCUACAUGCUUUUAUAUUUGUGAAAUUCAUUGUUAUUGGUCCCGGUCCUUCCUUCGUUUCUCAUUAAGGCCCACUGGUUGUUCCGUACAUUCCAUCUUAUCUUUUUUACUUCCAUAAAAAUUUGUUUUAAUUUUUAUAAGGUCUUGUUACAUAUAACUAUAGGUUUCCAUAAAAACCUUUCAACUAAAGCUUUCUCUUUACAACAAUUAGAGCUCCAUAUUGAAGCUCUAAUUAAGUUGAGCUUGAACCUUCAUCCUCAGUCAGCAACAUCAGCAGUGUACUGAAGAAUCUGCAGAAAGAAAAUUGAGAAGAAGGAAGAGUGAGACGGAGAAGGAGUAAAGAAGAAGAACAGGGAUGAAAGAAGAGCAUAGAGGUUACCUGAAUUUUUCCCGUCACCGGAGUCAUCACCUGAGCACCUUGUUGCUAUGAUUUGGUACAUUUAUGUUGUUUUCAUGCUUGAUUUUUGGUGAAUAAUGCUUCUGAACACACCUUGAUUGAUUCCCCAUUGUUAUUUUUCUUGAUUGUAUGUAUUUGGGAAAAUUUUAGGGAUUUAGGAUUCUUCGAUCGGAUGCAUUCUUUGGUAUGAUUCAUGUUUUAUUAUUUGUUUCUAAGACCAUAAUCGUGUUUAGGAGACUAAAUUAAGUAUGGUUUGUGUUCAUGACUUUUUGAUUUGAGCUUUUUUUUUGUUGUGAAAAUGGAUGGAGUCCUCAAUAAUAUUCAUCAAGUUCCUGAGGAUAUUCAUAGUGUUCAUAGGCAUUUUGGAAAAGUGGGUGGGGUGAGGAUUGAUCCAAAAAGAGAGAGAAAAUUGAGUGUGUUUGGUGUUAAGCGAGGGAGAGAGAGAAAAAUUAUCACCAAGCGAGAGAGUCACUUGACUCUACACUUAAAUACCUGCUCUCAUCCCUCUCUUGAUUGGGCCAUGUGGCAUGUUGUAG